GAGGGAGUGGAGUAUAGUGACACAGUAACAGAGGGAUUGAGGGCCCUGCUCAGUGAGUUUACAUGCUAGAGGGAGUGGGGUAUAGUGACACAGUAACAGAGGGAUUGAGGGUCCUGCUCAGUGAGUUUACAUGUUAGAGGGAGUGGGGUAUAGUGACACAGUAACAGAGGGAUUGAGGGCCCUGCUCAGUGAGUUUACAUGUUAGAGGGAGUUGGGGUAUAGUGACACAGUAACAGAGGGAUUGAGGGCCUGCUCAGUGAGUUUACAUGUUAGAGGGAGUGGGGUAUAGUGACA